rnacentral:rRNA from 1 species
AAUUUUCGGCAAUGGGGGCAACCCUGACCGAGCGACGCCGCGUGAGUGAUGAAGGUCUUCGGAUUGUAAAGCUCUGUUGGAAGGGAAGAACCGUACCAGUAUGGUAUGACUGGUACCUGACGGUACCUGCCCAGCAAGCCACGGCUAACUACGUGCCAGCAGCCGCGGUAAUACGUAGGUGGCAAGCGUUAUCCGGAAUUAUUGGGCGUAAAGGGAGCGCAGGCGGCUUAUUAAGUCUGAGGUUAAAGUUCGGGGCUCAACCCCGUGAUGCCUUAGAAACUGGUAGGCUAGAGUGCAGGAGAGGUGAGUGGAAUUCCAUGUGUAGCGGUAAAAUGCGUAGAUAUAUGGAGGAACACCAGUGGCGAAGGCGGCUCACUGGCAUGUAACUGACGCUGAGGCUCGAAAGCGUGGGGAGCAAAUA